GCAGAAGGAUCAUUAGUGAAGAUUUGGGCAGGCCAUACGGACGCCAAAAAGUGUCCCUGGCCGCCUACACCCACUAUACAUCCACAAACCCGUGUGCACUGUCUUGGAGAAAGGCUCCAGAGAAGUUUUUUGUGGCCUCUCUUGGGGUCUUUCUUCGCUACAAACUCGAAUGGUUAGUAUGAACGUGGAACUUGGUUGGACCGUCACUGGCCAACAAACUAUACACAACUUUCGACAACGGAUCUCUUGGUUCUCCCA
rnacentral:misc_RNA from 1 species